CAGGCGGUGCCCAGGCAACAGAGGGGUUCAUUGUCAUUGCUGCCUUCUCUUGAGAAUGUUUAACCCAGUGGCAGAAUGCCUCUGCCUUCUCCCAUGGGUCCAGGAGCCUGCAAGUAGGCAGUCUUAUAUUACUCCUGGGUGGGAACAAAGGCAUGUGGAAGAGCCACUUCUACAUUGGCCAGAAGAACUAAAGAGUCUCCUGAUGAAAGUGAAAGAGGAGAUUGAAAGAGUUGGCUCAAAGCUCAACAUUCAGAAAAUGAAGAUCAUGGCAUCCGGUCCCAUCACUUCAUGACAAAUAGAUGGGGAAACAGUGGAAACAGUAGCUGACUUUUUCCUGGGCUCCAAAAUCACUGCAGAUAGUGAUUGCAGCCAUGAAACUAAAAGAUGCUUACUCCUUGGAAGGAAAAUUAUGACCAACCUAGACAGCAUAUUAAAAAGCAGAGACAUUACUUUGUCAACAAAGGUC
ensembl:lncRNA